UAGUACGGCGAGUGAGAGGGAAGAGCCCAAGAUUGAAAGCUGGCGUCUUCGGCGUCCGCAUUGUAAUCUCAAGAAGUGUUUUCCGCUUCGGACCAUGCCUAAGUCCCUUGGAAAAGGGCAUCAUAGAGGGUGAUAAUCCCGUACAUGGCAUGGAGCGCCCGAAGCUUUGUGAUACGCUUUCUAAGAGUCGAGUUGUUUGGGAAUGCAGCUCAAAAUGGGUGGUAAAUGCCAUCUAAGGCUAAAUAUUGGGGAGAGACCGAUAGCGAACAAGUACAGUGAUGGAAAGAUGAAAAGAACUUUGAAAAGAGAGUUAAACAGUACGUGAAAUUGCCAAAAGGGAAGGGUAGGAGGUCAGAGAUGCGGCCUGGGAUUCAGCCUUGCUUUUGCUUGGUGUUUUUCCCAGAUUGCAGGCCAACGUCGGUUUUGGGCACUGGAGAAGGGUAGGAGGAACGUGGCACCUCUCGGGGUGUGUUAUAGCCUCCUACUGGAUACAGCGACCGAGACCGAGGACAGCAGCGUACUCGCAAGAGCGGACCUUCGGGCACCUUUACGCUUAGGGCGUUGGCAUAAUGGCCCUCUACCACCCGUCUUGA
rnacentral:rRNA from 1 species